AUUGAACGCUGGCGGCAUGCCUUACACAUGUAAGUCGAACGGCAGCACGGGAGCAAUCCUGGUGGCGAGUAGCGAACGGGUGAGUAAAGUAUCGGAACGUGCCCAGUCGUGGGGGAUAACGUAGCGAAAGUUACGCUAAUACCGCAUACGAUCUAUGGAUGAAAGCGGGGGAUCGCAAGACCUCGCGCGAUUGGAGCGGCCGAUAUCAGAUUAGGUAGUUGGUGGGGUAAAGGCUCACCAAGCCGACGAUCUGUAGCUGGUCUGAGAGGACGACCGGCCACACUGGGACUGAGACACGGCCCAGACUCCUACGGGAGGCAGCAGUGGGGAAUUUUGGACAAUGGGCGCAAGCCUGAUCCAGCCAUGCCGCGUGCAGGAUGAAGGCCUUCGGGUUGUAAACUGCUUUUGUACGGAACGAAAAGGUUUGGCUUAAUACGUUGAACUCAUGACGGUACCGUAAGAAUAAGCACCGGCUAACUACGUGCCAGCAGCCGCCGUAA
rnacentral:rRNA from 1 species